UGGGGAAUAUUGGGCAAUGGGGGAAACCCUGACCCAGCAACGCCGCGUGAGGGAAGAAGGUUUUCGGAUUGUAAACCUCUGUCCUAAGAGAAGAGGGGAAGACGGUAUCUUAGGAGGAAGCCCCGGCUAACUACGUGCC
rnacentral:rRNA from 1 species